UGCCCAGUACGGCGAGUGAAGCGGCAACAGCUCAAAUUUGAAAUCUGGCCCCCCGGCCCGAGUUGUAAUUUGGAGAGGAUGCUUCUGGCGCGGCGCCGUCCGAGUUCCUUGGAACAGGACGCCACAGAGGGUGAGAGCCCCGUACGGACGGACGCCUAGCCUCUACGAAGCUCCUUCGACGAGUCGAGUAGUUUGGGAAUGCUGCUCAAAAUGGGAGGUAAAUUUCUUCUAAAGCUAAAUACCGGCCAGAGACCGAUAGCGCACAAGUAGAGUGAUCGAAAGAUGAAAAGCACUUUGAAAAGAGGGUUAAAAAGUACGUGAAAUUGUUGAAAGGGAAGCGCCUGUGACCAGACUUGCGCCCCGCGGACCACCCGGCGUUCUCGCCGGUGCACUCUGCGGUGCGCAGGCCAGCAUCGGUUCUCCCAGGGGGACAAAGGCCGCGGGAACGUAGCUCCUUCGGGAGUGUUAUAGCCCGCGGCGGCAUGCCCCUGGGGGGACCGAGGACCGCGCUUCGGCAAGGAUGCUGGCGUAAUGGUCACCAGCGACCCGUCUUGAAACACGGACCA
rnacentral:rRNA from 1 species